GAUGAACGCUGGCGGCGUGCCUAAUACAUGCAAGUCGAGCGAACAGACGAGGAGCUUGCUCCUCUGACGUUAGCGGCGGACGGGUGAGUAACACGUGGAUAACCUACCUAUAAGACUGGGAUAACUUCGGGAAACCGGAGCUAAUACCGGAUAAUAUAUUGAACCGCAUGGUUCAAUAGUGAAAGACGGUUUUGCUGGCACUUAUAGAUGGAUCCGCGCCGCAUUAGCUAGUUGGGAAGGUAACGGCUUACGAAGGCAACGAUGCGUGGCCGACCUGAGGGGGUGAUCGGCCACCCUGGAACUGAGACACGGUCCAGACGACUAAGGGAGGCAGCAGUAGGGAAUCUUCCGCAAUGGGCGAAAGCCUGACGGAGCAACGCCGCGUGAGUGAUGAAGGUCUUCGGAUCGUAAAACUCUGUUAUUAGGGAAGAACAAAUGUGUAAGUAACUAUGCACGUCUUGACGGUACCUAAUCAGAAAGCCACGGCUAACUACGUG
rnacentral:rRNA from 1 species